GAUAGUUACCUAGGUUAGUACCACCUGGGUGUGGGUUGGCGUAAAGGCCGAGCCCGGCAUAGAUUGGCCUUCAGGCCAAGGCCAACAUGAACACCCUCCAUGCAACCAGUAGAGGUUGGUCGCAUGGACCUCCCUGGUGGAUUGGAGGUCUGCCUUUCCUCGCGCCACACUGGUUUAUUGAAGGUAAGUCUUUCUUCAGACCUCCCUGCUUGACUUGAGGUAAGUCUGUCUUCAGACCUCCCUGCUUGAUUUGAGGUCUGCCUUUCCUCGCGCCACACUGGUUGAUUGAAGGUAAGUCGUACUUCAGACCUCCCUGCUUGAUUUGAGGUAAGUCUUUCUUCAGACCUCCCUGCUUGAUUUGAGGUAAGUCUUUCUUCAGACCUCCCUGCUUGAUUUGAGGUAAGUCUUUCUUCAGACCUCCCUGCUUGACUUGAGGUAAGUCUGUCUUCAGACCUCCCUGCUUGAUUUGAGGUCUGCCUUUCCUCGCGCCACACUGGUUUAUUGAAGGUAAGUCUUUCUUCAGACCUCCCUGCUUGACUUGAGGUAAGUCUGUCUUCAGACCUCCCUGCUUGAUUUGAGGUCUGCCUUUCCUCGCGCCACACUGGUUGAUUGAAGGUAAGUCGUACUUCAGACCUCCCUGCUUGAUUUGAGGUCUGCCUUUCCUCGCGCCACACUGGUUGAUUGAAGGUAAGUCGUACUUCAGACCUCCCUGCUUGAUUUGAGGUAAGUCUUUCUUCAGACCUCCCUGCUUGAUUUGAGGUAAGUCUUUCUUCAGA